rnacentral:rRNA from 1 species
CAGGCUUAACACAUGCAAGUCGAGGGGCAGCAUGGUCUUAGCUUGCUAAGGCCGAUGGCGACCGGCGCACGGGUGAGUAACACGUAUCCAACCUGCCGUCUACUCUUGGACAGCCUUCUGAAAGGAAGAUUAAUACAAGAUGGCAUCAUGAGUCCGCAUGUUCACAUGAUUAAAGGUAUUCCGGUAGACGAUGGGGAUGCGUUCCAUUAGAUAGUAGGCGGGGUAACGGCCCACCUAGUCUUCGAUGGAUAGGGGUUCUGAGAGGAAGGUCCCCCACAUUGGAACUGAGACACGGUCCAAACUCCUACGGGAGGCAGCAGUGAGGAAUAUUGGUCAAUGGGCGAGAGCCUGAACCAGCCAAGUAGCGUGAAGGAUGACUGCCCUAUGGGUUGUAAACUUCUUUUAUAAAGGAAUAAAGUCGGGUAUGCAUACCCGUUUGCAUGUACUUUAUGAAUAAGGAUCGGCUAACUCCGUGCCAGCAGCCGCGGUAAUACGGAGGAUCCGAGCGUUAUCCGGAUUUAUUGGGUUUAAAGGGAGCGUAGAUGGAUGUUUAAGUCAGUUGUGAAAGUUUGCGGCUCAACCGUAAAAUUGCAGUUGAUACUGGAUAUCUUGAGUGCAGUUGAGGCAGGCGGAAUUCGUGGUGUAGCGGUGAAAUGCUUAGAUAUCACGAAGAACUCCGAUUGCGAAGGCAGCCUGCUAAGCUGCAACUGACAUUGAGGCUCGAAAGUGUGGGUAUCAAACAGGAUUAGAUACCCUGGUAGUCCACACGGUAAACGAUGAAUACUCGCUGUUUGCGAUAUACAGCAAGCGGCCAAGCGAAAGCGUUAAGUAUUCCACCUGGGGAGUACGCCGGCAACGGUGAAACUCAAAGGAAUUGACGGGGGCCCGCACAAGCGGAGGAACAUGUGGUUUAAUUCGAUGAUACGCGAGGAACCUUACCCGGGCUUAAAUUGCAGAUGAAUUACGGUGAAAGCCGUAAGCCGCAAGGCAUCUGUGAAGGUGCUGCAUGGUUGUCGUCAGCUCGUGCCGUGAGGUGUCGGCUUAAGUGCCAUAACGAGCGCAACCCUUGUUGUCAGUUACUAACAGGUUCCGCUGAGGACUCUGACAAGACUGCCAUCGUAAGAUGUGAGGAAGGUGGGGAUGACGUCAAAUCAGCACGGCCCUUACGUCCGGGGCUACACACGUGUUACAAUGGGGGGUACAGAGGGCCGCUACCACGCGAGUGGAUGCCAAUCCCAAAAACCUCUCUCAGUUCGGACUGGAGUCUGCAACCCGACUCCACGAAGCUGGAUUCGCUAGUAAUCGCGCAUCAGCCACGGCGCGGUGAAUACGUUCCCGGGCCUUGUACACACCGCCCGUCAAGCCAUGGGAGCCGGGGGUACCUGAAGUGCGUAACCGCGAGGAGCGCCCUAGGGUAAAACUGGUGACUGGGGCUAAG